GAGGGAGGGAUUGCAUUGGGGUUAUACCUGAUGUAAAUGUGAGUUGAGGGGUGCAGCACACCAACAAGGCACAAGUAUACAUAUGUAACAAACCUGCACGUUAUGCACAUGUACCCUACAACUUACAGUAUAAUAAUAAUAAAUAAAUUAAAAAAAAAAAGAAAACAAAAACAAACAAACAAAAAAAACAAAGGCUGUAGGGAGAGGUAAAAGCACUGGUUUCUAAAAUUCUUUUUUUUAAAUUUAAUUUAAUUUUAAAUUUUAAAAAAUUUUAGGCAAAUCUCACCUGGAUGGUUUCUAAAGUUCUGAGCUCCAAAAUUUAAUGAUUUUAGGACAAUUUUAUCAAAAUUUUGUUUUGUUAGCUUGCCCCUGUAUUUAAAAUUCCACAUUUAGAGGUGAUUUUGUAAAACUCAUGUUGGGGAGGGACAAUAAAUUAUGGCAGUGUUAGCAUUGGAAUACUUUUUUUUUCAGGAAGCUAGCUAUAGAAUGCAGCAACAUGUAGGUGAAGCUUGGAAAAAUAUUGAGCUUAUAAAGUACAUUGGCAGGGGAUAAUUUCUCUAUAAAAACCUGAACCUCAAGAUACUGGGUGCUGAGAAACGAGUAGAAGGCUGAGAGAUGGAAGUCCCCAAGACCAAACCUAUAUUUAUGUUUUUUCAAAAAGCAGUGUUAUGUUGCAAGAAAAUGGAACUUCCAGAGAAAGUUGCUAAGGUUUAGAUGACUCACUUCAAAGGUACAACAAUCAGUUUCCCCAGGAUUUAUGCUACUUCUCGGAAGAGAGAGAGUUUGUAGAAAAAAAGUUGAUGAAGAUUUAGAGAUCUGUUCUAUAAACCUAAGAAAGGAAGGAAGCAAAGAUACUUGUGAUUUCAUACUACCUUCUGUAGGUUUCACAGAUUUGAAAUUUGAACCUACAUCAAAGGAGCUGAAAAGAAAAAAAUUAGUCAAGGCAGAUGAGCAGAUCAUACCACACCUCUGCCAGCAGCACCAGAAAACAAGGAACAUUCAAAGUGACACUUGGGCCCAGGAAGGAAUCACUUCAGUGGGAGUCAAAGAGGAGAGGCUGUACAGGCAAGGGUACAGGUGCAUAGGAGACACACAGGAGGAGGCAAUGGGACUGCAGAGGUAGAGAUGAGAGUGAUGAGGCCACAAAUCAAGGAUUGUCAAGAUCAACCAGAAACGUGAAGAGGCAAGGAAGAUUCUGCCCUAGAGCUUUCGGAAGAAGCAUGGCUUUGCUGAAAACUUGAUGGUGGGCUUCUGCCUCCAGAACUGUGAGAAUACAUUUCUGUUGUUUUAUGCUUCCCAGUUUGUGUAAUGGGUUACAAAGGAUAGUAGUAUAGCUCCUUUUCACUUUCUUUUCUGCUCCAUUUCAGUUUUUCUAUCUUUUCUGCACUUUUCCAUUUCUCUCUCUCUCUCUCUGUCUCUCAUUGUAUCACUGCCAAGACAAAGUACAUAACAAUAAUUGAUGCAUGUGGGUAUGAUUUUUUUUUUUUUUUUUUUUUUUUUGAGACGGAGUCUCGCUCUGUCACCCAGGCUGGAGUGCAGUGGCCGGAUCUCAGCUCACUGCAAGCUCCGCCUCCCGGGUUCACGCCAUUCUCCUGCCUCAGCCUCCCGAGUAGCUGGGACUACAGGCGCCCGCCACCUCGCCCGGCUAUUUUUGUAUUUUUUAGUAGAGACGGGGUUUCACCGUGUUAACCAGGAUGGUCUCGAUCUCCUGACCUCGUGAUCCGCCCGUCUCGGCCUCCCAAAGUGCUGGGAUUACAGGCUUGAGCCACCGCGCCCGGCCGUGGGUAUGAUUUUUUGCAAAGUUGAUUGACUGUUAAGCCAACUGCCCAUGUUUUAAAUAUUAAUGAAAAUAAAAUUACUUGGCAGUUUUGUUAAAAAUGCAGAAUCCCAAUGUCCACCCUAACACAUUUCUGAUUUUAUUGGUCUGAUAUGUGACCUGUGAACCAGUAUUUUUUAACAAGAAUCUGAGAGAUUCUUUUAUAGAUGGCCAACAAUCCAUACUUAGGAAGACUAAAGUAAGGCAUGGUUCCCUUUGUCUGCUAUCAAUAACUGAUAUAUAUCUGGGGUAUAGGAUUGUCAGUCUAAAAUCCCAUUACAAUCCAGGAAGUAGUGUCUAUAGAAUGCCAAAUCCCAGGCCUCUGUAAAAAUAUAAGUAACCUCAAAAGGAUUUGGUUAGACUCACAUUUAACAAAUCACAGUGGCUAAUUCAAGGAAAUGAGGGUGGUUCUUUAACCUUUGAGUGGAAAGCCUGGUUGGGGGGGUGGGUAGCAUAACAUUUCCCAGCAUGUUCCUUACUGCCACUGCCUGGGAGCGAAUUCUAGACAGGCCUGGCAGGCCCAUGUUCCCACACACUGGGCCAAUUUUUGUUCCUGGCUCAGUGCUGUGCUUACUUAGAGGGGUAAUAGCUUUGUCUGUUUUGCUCCUCAGUGGGACAUAUCUCCCAUCUAUUUUGUUUAGGAACUCUAAACACGUCCAAAGGGAAGCUCAGCUGUGGAACUCUGAAUAGGAUCUGGCUAGAAGCAGCCUCAACACACUUUUUUUUUUUUUUCCACUCUUCUCAUAGUCCUUUUCAGACCUGGGAGGUUUUUCAGAAGACUUGCUGCUGCAGGCUGUUGCCUGAAACCACCCAUCAAGGAGCAUGUCCAACCUCUUACUUCUUGGCUGGCUGUAAACCUUGGUACAUUCAGCACAGAAAGUGGAGGCUGAAGAGGGUCAUCAAUUUGUGCCUGAAGGAGGCCAUUGUUUACCCCUUAUGAAAGCAAUGGGAAGCAGAGUCUUUUUCUCCUACUUCCCAGAAGCAGAGUAAACAUACCCUUUUGAAUGAGCAAUGCUGGUAUGUUAGGCAAGUUUCCUAUAAGAACCCAACUGCAUCUUGUCUUUACUCUUUCUGGAUGCCUUCAGCUUAUACUGCCCUUAUCUCUUUCCUAUCUCCUGAUAGCCCUCCUUAGACAUUUGACAUGGUUUCCUGAUGACAGCCUGUCUUGACUCAUUGUUUAAUUGCUGUGCAGUGCUCAAACUUCUCCUUCAGGCAAACAGCGUAAAUACACAGCACAUUCUUUAGAAAUUGAUUUAAAGUCUUGCUCUCUAUAAACAAGUACCUUUUUUGUAUAAUGAUGUAUUUUUCUCUGGGUAGAUACCCAGUAGUGGGAUUGCUGGAUCAAAUGUUUUUUCUACUUUUAGUUCCUUAAGACGUCUCCACAAUGUUUUCCAUAGUGGUUGUAAUUCACAAUUGCAAAAAUGUGGAACCAACCUGAAUGCCCAUCAAUGAAUGAGUGGAUAAAGAAGCUAUGGUAUAUAUAUAUAUAUAUACCACAUAUAAAAUAUAUGAUGGAAUAUUACUCAGCCAUAAAAAGGAAUGAAUUGUAUUCACAGCAACCUGCAUGGGAUUGGAGACUAUUAUCUUAAGUGAAGUAACUCAGGAAUGAAAAACAAAACAUAGUAUGUUCUCACUCGUAAGUGGGAGCUAAGCUAUGAGGAUGCAAAGGCAUAAGAAUGGCACAAUGGACUUUGGGGACUCAGUGGGAAAGAGUGCGAAGGGGGUGAGGGAUAAAAGACUACAAUUUGGGUUCAGUGUAUACUUCUUGGGUGAUAGGUGCACCAAGAUCUCACAAAUCACCACUUACUCAUGGAACCAAAUACCACCCAUUUCCCAGAAACCUAUGGAAAUAAAAAAUUUAAAAAUAAAUAAAGUCUUGGCCUCUUAAGAAGCUGAACUUUAAAGUAUGGUGUUUCCUACCUAUUCAUUAAACAGUGUUUCUCAAACUUUAUCUGAAAGAUUUGUUGUAAAUAUCACUGAGUCACACUCCCUGAGUUUCUGAUUAUGAUUCUGCUAGAAUUUGCAUUUCUAACAAGUUCCCAGCAGCUGCUGCCAACCCUGGAACCACCCUUGGAAAAUCACUGCUUUAGGGAAUGUAUCCUUUUUACUUUGCUUUGUACUAUGUGACAUAAACGCUUGUAUUUUAUAUCCCUUGAGAAAUAAAGAUGUCUUUGUUUGCAACUCAGUUACCCAGAGUGCAAAAUGGGUGAUAAGCCAAGCAAAUGUGAUAAGUACUUCUCUAAGUAUAAUGAUGCUUUAAAAACAGCCAACCAUGACGGAGUGCUCAGUUGCAAAUGAUGGUUCCUUUGCAGCUUGGUAGGCUGCCUCAGGUGUCAUGCUCAGUUUUCCAUCUCCUGCUUUUUGGUCUGCAACUAUUUUCCUAUGGGCAGCCCCUCAAUCCCAUGUUACAUGUUCUGACCACAUUCCGUUUUAUUUUACUCCAGUCCUCAGGGAGCUAUCUUCAGCAUUCCAUACCUAAGGACUCUUAUGGAUUUGAGAAAAUUUAAAAAUAGUCUCUCUUCCUCCCAGUAUCUACUUUAAAACACAUGAGUUUCAUGUGCUUUAAAGUAUAAUGUAUAUAUACUCAUAUAGUAUCAUGAGUGUCUUAAUGUGUAUUGUGCACUUUUAAUUCCAUGGCAAGACUCUUCAAGUUAACAUUACCUUCUUAUUCCUAUCCUCAUAAGUGUUUGUGAGCUAGAUUGCAGAAAAUUUGACAUUCAAAAGCCC
ensembl:lncRNA